GGGGCUUCUCGAACUUCGGGUCUCCUCUUGAAUGUGUGGUCGACUUGAAUGCAGGAGGAGGCUUCUUUAAUUGCUGGGAAGAGGAAGUUGGAUGGAGUUAAUGCCGCUCUUCCCUCUUUUCGUUGAAGAACAGGUUGCAGAGAUUGAAUGCUUGAUUACUUUGAGUGGAAUAGUUGUUCUCUACUUUGCUACAGUCCUCUGUGGCUAUUUAAACCAACCCCCACGGAAACUAGCCGUUAGAGACCUUUUUUUGCCCGUUCUGCACACUCUGCACAGCCUGACAAUAUGUCCGUUGGUGGGUUGGAGUCGACUCGCGCGAUCAGGAGUCGACUCGGCUGUAGCGGGAGUCGACUCAUGCUUUUCUGGAGUCGACUCGGCAACUGUUCCGGAUUUGAAUUAAAGUUGCCUCUUCGACUGGGAGUCGACUCGACUUGACUCGGAGUCGACUCGCCAACUUCUGGAGCUGACUUGGCAUUUUCGGAGUCGGCUCAUCCCAUGAAGUCCACGGAGCCAAU
rnacentral:lncRNA from 1 species